rnacentral:lncRNA from 1 species
CGUCCCUGUUGUGAUCUUGCUCAGCCCUACACCCCCUUCAUUCUUGUCUCUAAAUCAACACAAUUUUUCCCCUGUUCUGACUCCAUUUAUGAAACUGUAACGCUUCCACCUUUACUCUGCUAUAUCUUCUUCUUUUCUUACAUGCUCUGGUUUUAAUUGUGAUAAUAUAUCUUUGUUUUAGUACUAUCGCCCUAUUUGUUGCGUUUCUGCUGGAAAUUAUCUUGAGUACUGGUAUUAGUGCUAUCAUGGAACGGUUGGAGCUGUUGAUGUUAUGAUUACAUCUGCGAUGUAGCCGUGGAAGUUGCUGCCACCGUCUCG